UGUGCCACAGCUUGGCCACCUUGUCCGGACGCUCCCGGCGGCUCCGUGUCCAAAGCCAGAGGGAACCUGCCCAAACCACCCCUGCAAAGCGCCCCGAGCUCUGCCGGGCGCCGUGGGACCGGCACCAUCCUCCCCGGCAGCCGCCGGAGCAGGACAGGGCGGGCGGCAGCCGCUUCCCUCCCUGCACACGCAGCACAUGUUGUUUUGAUUCCCGGCUCCUCCUGGCUGGCCGGCGCUGGCUGCCGCCCGGGAGCCAGUGGAAAACUCGGGAAGCGGGGACACCGCGGGAGGGGGAGGCCGAGGCCGGGCAGCCGCCCCGGUCAGGCGGCGAUGCCACCCGCUCCCUUCUGGGCGCUCGGACCCCAAGGUGCUGGAAAACCAGGGCUGGGUGGCCGCGUCUCCGGCUGGCACCUUUGCACCAGAGGGCAGCAUCGCCGCGGCGAAUGCACCGCCGCCGUCACCACACGCCCGGCCACGGCCACGCGUGGGUCUGCAAUUCAGCGACUCCAUUUCCAGAGCAUCCGACGCGUCGCCGCGGCCUGGGCCGGCCCCGGAGAGCCCCGCGCUGCCCGGGAGCCUCCGUGCUGCUCGCUUUGGAGGGAAGCGGCUUUGUCUUUCCAUGGGGAGGGCUGGAUUUUUUCCUGCUUCGGGACACGAGUCUCCCCCCAGAUUCCUGAGCGCUCUGCUGCCUGGUCCGUCCUUGGCUGGGUGCAAUUUUUUCCUGUUUAAUAUGAUUUUAUAUAUAUCUAUUAUAUAUAUAUAAAGCAAAACAAAACAUAUCAUUUCCUUGAUUUAAUAUGAGCCAAUUACGCCUCGUAGGCUGUUAACUUCAUCACCGCUUCUUCCAGGAAAGACCUUGCUAAAAUAAGCUAAGAUGCCGAGGAGCGGAGCCCCGCAGCCGCAGCGUCUCCCCCCGAGCGUGGAAACCCCCCCGAAGCCCCUGUCACACACGUGCCCGCGAAAAUAUCCCACCGCUUGUCGUCCAUCUGCUGACGGAUACCAACUGGAAAGGAGAUCAGCGCUCCGGCUCCGCGCUGGGCUGUCUGCCCCUCUAAUGAGGACCAGAUUGAGCGGCUGCUCUGCGCCCCAGCACGCCGCAGCACCGGGCGCACGGGGCCAGCCGCAAGAGCAGGCGGCCGGGGAGGCGCGGGGGGGGGCACCCGGCUCCCCGCCGGCCGCGGGGAAUCCCGUGGGGAGGCUUCCCACCCUCCUGCCUCGGGAAGACGGGAUGCCCGUUGCAUCCAAGGGCACCUCGGCGGCGGGGAGUUUCCCUGCGGCUCGCUCUGCGGGGCCUGGGGCAGGGCCGGCGCUGGCCGUCUCCCUCCUCCCCGCUGCUGGCGCCCAUUUUAGCUUGUGUUUCUUUUCAUCAGUGGUUGCAUCAAAAAUCAAGAUGUGCUGGGAUCUGAUCCCAAAUAAUAAUGCCAACAUAUCCUCUCCGGGAGCCCUUCAUUUAUGUCCCGCGGCCGUCUGCCGCUGCAAGUGCCCAGGAGCAUCACUCGAGCCGCAUCCCUGCGGCAUCCCCAUGGCAUCCCUGCCCGUCCCCGCGGUGUCCUCGUGCUCUGCAGCCACGCGAUCUCCCACCCCGGGGGCCCAAAAGGAACCUUUUAACCCAUUUAUCCUUCUGACGGAAAACCUCGUGGAUGAAAUUUGGAAUGAAAGCAGAGACCUGAAAGAACAUUUCUGCUCCACCAGCGAUCUACUAACAGGAUAAUCCUGUUACAGCCACCCUGAGUGGGUCUUGACUACUCCUGGGCAGGUAUUCAUCUAUUUUAUUGGCAAAACAACACCCUGCCCUGUAGUCCUGGCGUGCCCUCCAAUGCCCCUGCCUUAGGUUGCUUUAUCAUCCCAGAUCUUUGGAAGCGGCACUAAAUGCUUUCACUUGCUCUUAAGCAAAAGUUUCAUUGAGCUUUUGAACACCAAGGUGCAGCUGAUGCUGCAGGAGCAGGUCUUGCUGCAAAGGCAACAGGAUUUAAUUUGGCGGCCCUUUGGCCAAGCCCUGUGUGCACUGAACAGUGGUUGCUCUACGGCUGGUGGGGAUGAAGGGUUUUGCCCCGACACAAACAAUCCAGUGAGCAAGUCCCAAACAACGCCCGGGGCUGCCGAUGCCUGGUCCUUUGCCCUGGCCAUCACUGGCCUUGAUUGCAGACAGCGUUUUCAGCUAAUCCAGUAUUUACACCUACUUUAUGCUGCUUGCAGAUGAAAAACCCCCUCUUUCUUUGCCGUUUAAAGUACAAGAAGCCUGUACAGUCCCCAGUUUGAGAGCCUGAGCCCCUGAGGGCAGCCACUGUGCUCUUCCAAGGAGAGGAGACGGGCUGAGGGGCUGGCUGCGGCGUGCCAGCCUCGGCGUCUUCCUCGGCACAGGCGGGGACACCAGGCAGUGUGUGCCCUCGCCUGAGCUUUUAGGCAGGAGGGGAAAAAAGAGCAGCGGUUAGUGAGCAAAAGCGAAGUUUCGUGAUCAGCCAGGCACCCGGAUUUCACAGUGCGUUUCCCCAAGCUUUGCAAAAACCAGCAGCUGGGCAGGGGAGAGAAACCCCCACGGACGCACGGAAGCAACGGGAGGUUUGAGCUGCUGCAGCCGGUCCCCGUGCUCUCGCCGAGCCCGCUCCGGGCUGCAGGACGCGGCUUGCUGCAGCGCUCGCUCCGGCAUCCCGGGCCCGCGGUGCUGCCGGGUCCGGAGGAGCUAAGGCGAAACACAUUGAGCGCGUAGGGAAAGGGAGCGCGACGGUCGGGAAUCGUUUUGUUUGGGUUUCUCAAACGUGUGCAUGAAAACACUGUGUGGUUUUCUGACAAAUUUGAAACAGCGCUGCUCAAUUCCCUCCAACAUUGCUACUGUGGAUCUCGCAGACUGUAAAGCAUUUAUUGGAGUUGCUCGAGGCGAACUUAAGCAUCUGUGGAAUAACAAGUCCAGGAAGUAAUUGCAUCCACAAGGAAAAUAUUUUUAUGUAUAAUUCAGUGACCCAUUUUAUAAACAUUGCGGUUCCACCUUGGA